UACCAGCACCCCGAGUGGUCGGGACGAUUAUUGGGCCUAAAGCAUCCGUAGCCGGUUUUACAAGUCCUCCGUUAAAAUCCAGCUGCUUAACAGAUGGGCUGCGGGAGGAUACUAUAAGACUAGGAGGCAGGAGAGGCAAGCGGUACUCAGUGGGUAGGGGUAAAAUCCGUUGAUCCAUUGAAGACCACCAGUGGCGAAGGCGGCUUGCCAGAAUGCGCUCGACGGUGAGGGAUGAAAGCUGGGGGAGCAAACCGG
rnacentral:rRNA from 1 species